AUUGAACGCUGGCGGCAGGCCUAACACAUGCAAGUCGAGCGGAUGAAGGGAGCUUGCUCCUGGAUUCAGCGGCGGACGGGUGAGUAAUUCCUAGGAAUCUGCCUGGUAGUUGGGGAUAACGUCCGGAAACGGGCGCUAAUACCGCAUACGUCCUGAGGGAGAAAGUGGGGGAUCUUCGGACCUCACGCUAUCAGAUGAGCCUAGGUCGGAUUAGCUAGUUGGUGGGGUAAAGGCCUACCAAGGCGACGAUCCGUAACUGGUCUGAGAGGAUGAUCAGUCACACUGGAACUGAGACACGGUCCAGACUCCUACGGGAGGCAGCAGUGGGGAAUAUUGGACAAUGGGCGAAAGCCUGAUCCAGCCAUGCCGCGUGUGUGAAGAAGGUCUUCGGAUUGUAAAGCACUUUAAGUUGGGAGGAAGGGCAGUAAGUUAAUACCUUGCUGUUUUGACGUUACCAACAGAAUAAGCACCGGCUAACUUCGUG
rnacentral:rRNA from 1 species